GAUCUCUUUGAGCUGACCCUGUUUUGUUGAGCCUCUUGGAUGUGAGCCCCGUGGCGUGUAUGUUAGUGUACUUAAUGGCAGCACACAGGUCCCUCACGGCUGUUUAUUUUCCUGUGAACUUAUUGUUUCCUACUCUUCAUAUGUGACAGUUUCUUUUGGAUUGUCCCAGCCGGUUACUCAUAUGUCAGAUUCCCA